AACGCACAUUGCACUCUCUGGUAUUCCGGAGAGUAUGCUUGUUUGAGUAUCAGUAAACACCUCAAGUCUCUUCUCUAGAGAAGAGAAUUGGACUUGAGCAAUCCCAACUCUUUGCAAAAAGAGGCGGGUUGCUUGAAAUGCAGGUGCAGCUGGACAUUCUUCUGAGCUAAAAGCAUAUUUAUUUAGUCCCGUCAAACGGAUUAUUACUUUUGCUCUAGCUAAUAUAAAGGUUGAAUGCGCUAUAUGCUGACUGAUGCAGGAUUACCAAGUUUUACUAGCUAAAACUUGUAAACUCGAUCUCAAAUCAAGUAAGACUACCCGCUGAACUUAA
rnacentral:rRNA from 1 species